rnacentral:rRNA from 1 species
GAGUUUGAUCCUGGCUCAGAUUGAACGCUAGCGGCAUGCCUAACACAUGCAAGUCGAACGGCAGCGCGGGGAGCUUGCUCCCUGGCGGCGAGUGGCAGACGGGUGAGUAACGCGUAGGAAUUUGCCUUGUAGUGGGGGACAACCCGGGGAAACUCGGGCUAAUACCGCAUAAUCUCUACGGAGCAGAGUGGGGGAUCUUCGGACCUCACGCUAUAAGAUGAGCCUGCGUUAGAUUAGCUUGUUGGUGGGGUAACGGCCUACCCAAGGCGACGAUCUAUAGCUGGUCUGAGAGGACGAUCAGCCACACUGGGACUGAGACACGGCCCCAGACUCCUACGGGAGGCAGCAGUGGGGAAUAUUGGACAAUGGGGGCAACCCUGAUCCAGCAAUGCCCGCGUGUGUGAAGAAGGCCUUCGGGUNNAAAGCACUUUCAGUAGGGAAGAAAAACUUAAGGUUAAUACCCUUGAGCCUUGACGUUACCUACAGAAAGAAGCACUGGCUAACNCUGUGCCCAGCAGCCGCGGUAAUACAGAGAGUGGCAAGCGUUAAUCGGAAUUACUGGGCGUAAAGCGCGCGUAGGUGGAUANUUAAGUCGAAUGUGAAAGCCCCGAGCUUAACUUGGGAAUUGCACCCGAUANNNGUAUCUUAGAGUAUGGUAGAGGGAAGUGGAAUUUUCCGGUGUAGCGGUGAAAUGCGUAGAUAUCGGAAAGAACACCGUGGCGAAAGGCGACUUCCUGGACCNNUCNGACACUGAGGCGCGAAAGGUGGGGAGCAAACAGGAUUAGAUACCCUGGUAGUC